UCGUCCUAUGUUGCCAGCGGUCAUGCCGGGGACUCAUGGGAGACUGCCGGGGUCAACUCGGAGGAAGUGGGGAUGACGUCAAAUCAUCAUGCCCCUUAUGUCUUGGGCUUCACGCAUGCUACAAUGGCCGGUACAAAGGGCUGCGAUACCGCGAGGUGGAGCGAAUCCCAGAAAGCCGGUCUCAGUUCGGAUUGGGGUCUGCAACUCGACCCCAUGAAGUCGGAGUCGCUAGUAAUCGCAGAUCAGCAACGCUGCGGUGAAUACGUUCCCGGGCCUU
rnacentral:rRNA from 1 species